UUUUUUUUCCCGGGGAUUAGAAUAGGGCGGGGGGGUUUAUUUUGGGGUUUCUAGGGCCCCCGUAAUGAUUUAUAGGGAUAGUUGGGGGGGUCCGUUUUUCAGUGUCAGAGGGGAAAAUUUUUGAUUUUUUGAAGAAUAAAUUAUGGGAAAACCUUUGCCCAAGAUGUUUUCCUUUAUCCGGGAAAGAAAGUUAGGGGAUUGAAGGCGAUCAGAAACCGUUGUAGUUUUAACCAUUAAAUAUGCCGAAUAGGGAUUGGGCGGGGUUUUUUUUUGACCCCUUUGGCCCCCUACGAGAAAACAAAGUUUUUGGGUUUCGGGGGGAGUAUGGGCGCAAGGGUGAAAAUUAAAGAAAUUGACGGAAGGGCCCCCCCAGGGGGGGAGCCUGGGGGUUAAUUUGACUCAACCCGGGGAAACUCCCCAGGUCCCGACAAAAAAAGGAAUGACAGAAUGAGAGCUUUUUUUUGAUUUUUUGGGGGGGGGUGCAUGGCCGUUUUUAGUUGGGGGAGUGAUUUUUUUGGUUAAUUGGGAUAACGAACGAGACCUCGGCCCUUAAAUAGCCCGGUCCGCAUUUGCGGGCCGCUGGGUUUUUAGGGGGGGUAUCGGGUCAAACCGAGGGAAAUGCGCGGCAAAAACACGUGUGUGAUGCCCCUUGAUGUUUUGGGCCGCACGCGCGCUACACUGACAGGGCCAGCGAGUACAUCACCUAACCGAGAGCCCGGU
rnacentral:rRNA from 1 species